CAGAUACUCCCUCCGUUCGGAAUUACUUGUCUUAAAAAUGGAUGUAUCUAGAACUAAAAUACGUCUAGAUACAUUCAUUUCCGCGACAAGUAAUUCCGAACGGAGGGAGUACCUU
rnacentral:pre_miRNA from 1 species